GAUGAACGCUAGCUACAGGCUUAACACAUGCAAGUCGAGGGGAAACGACAUCGAAAGCUUGCUUUUGAUGGGCGUCGACCGGCGCACGGGUGAGUAACGCGUAUCCAACCCGCCCACCACUUGGGGAUAACCUUGCGAAAGUAAGACUAAUACCCAAUGAUAUCUCUAGAAGACAUCUGAAAGGGAUUAAAGAUUUAUCGGUGAUGGAUGGGGAUGCGUCGGAUUAGCUUGUUGGCGGGGUAACGGCCCACCAAGGCUACGAUCAGUAGGGGUUCUGAGAGGAAGGUCCCCCACAUUGGAACUGAGACACGGUCCAAACUCCUACGGGAGGCAGCAGUGAGGAAUAUUGGUCAAUGGACGGGAGUCUGAACCAGCCAAGUAGCGUGCAGGAUGACGGCCCUAUGUGUUGUAAACUGCUUUUGUAAGGGAAUAAAGUGAGUCUCGUGAGACUUUUUGCAUGUACCUUAUGAAUAAGGACCGGCUAAUUCCGUGCCAGCCGCCGCCGUAA
rnacentral:rRNA from 1 species